rnacentral:lncRNA from 1 species
CUCAUGGAAGAGGAACAGAGGUUCUGGGAUGGACCUACGCCCAUCUGAUUCCUCAGACGAAAUGGGGAGUCCAAAACAAUAUUGCCAAUGGUGAGAAACCAUUUCUGACAAGUCAGAAGACACACCUGCAACGUUCCGGGCUGAAGCAGAAAGAACAACCUCUAGAAAUACAAGAUGGGAAAGCUCCGAGAACGUUCCACAGCACAGAAAGAAGAUUCCCUGAAGAAGCAGCAACUGUUUUUGAGAUAUCAGUCCACUCGGAUUAGAUCUUUUUGCAUGGAUCUGAAAGCUAAUGAAUCUUUGAGGAAGCUUCAGUCAGCAUUAUCCCUCUGUAUUGCAAACGACGUAUUGGAUCUUCAAGCUGUUGUGGAAAUGGCUCCAUUGUUAUCUUCCCUCCAUCGUAUGAGAUACGAAGUGCUGUUCUUUCACUGUCUUAAGAUGUUCAGGAACAUUUUCACAUUUUGGAACAGUUGCUCCCACCUGUUCAGAAAGGAAUGUUGAAUAAUACUGUCAGCAGAUCAACUAUGUUAAUACUUGAGAUGUUCUGAAGACUUGAUACACAGUCCUUCCAGUGGCACAUAAGACAACUGACGACAGCAGCAGCACAGUUGGGCAUGAAGGUUUUAUGCCUAUGUCUGUUCAGAAAUGCCCUUUCAGUUAUGUACUCCCAUAAACUGAAUCAGCAUAUAAAUCUGCACGCUAUGCAAUAGAUGUAUAUGUAGCGGAGGCGCUGGGAUCCAACUCAGGAUAAUGGUGAGUCGAAUUCAGUCACGUCAGAUGUUGGACUUGGGAAAGCGCCUAUUAAGGGUCACCAGUAAUAUCACAGAGACAACACCCAGGCUGUGUGAAGACUCAUGAUUUCUGAUGAUGAUAAUAUCCCAAUGGUGGUCGGAAACAUCUAUUUGGUGUGGAUGAUGAUAACUUAUGUUCUAAUGAGUCUAGUCACUCUCAGUGCUUGUCAUUGCCCAUUUGGGGUGGAAUUCUGCUCUGUAUUGCACUAGAAAUCUUUAAAAUUCUGUCUGAAUAUUUCGGUCUGUUUUCUAUCUAUUUUCUUCACUAUUCACUUAAGAAAAAAAAGUCAUCAUUAGAAAGAACCUUUUUUUUUUUGGCAUUUCUUGCUCGCAUGCAAUUUCUUUUUCGCAUGCAUUUCUUGUUUGCACACAAUAGAUGGAGAACUUCAUGGAUAACUGCUUGCUGAAUAUUUCUAACAAUUUACUGUCUCAACACUUGCACAGUAGUGAAAAAUAUUAACUGUGAAGCUCCUCACCCUGUCCUUUUCUCUAUUAUUCCUCAACCUGAUUAUUUGUGCUGUCCUCUCAGAAUAUUAAUGUUACUGCAAUGAAUAUGGUGAAAGUAAGUCACAGUUCAUGAAAUCUAUUCACAGGAUUUGUUCCCAUUUCCUCACAGGUUGUUCUGAAUUAUAAUGACAGUGAAUGACAUUCCAGAUUAAUGAUGUUGAGGGAGGUUUGGGCACUUUUGAAGACAAGGGAAGUUGUCCCUCUGACCUUUAAUCGUUAGGAGUUCACUCAAAGAAUUAAAAUGAAACAUAAAAUAGAUAUUAAGGCUUGGAUAAUGACUUAUGGGAUUACUUCUAUUGAAGUCUUAUGUGCCUAGAAAAUUCCUCGGCGCUAAUAGCUUGGGGGAACAAUGUGCUUGGCACCAGUGGUAUUUUUCACUGCACUGUCUUGCUUUGUGCUCUAGAAUCUGCUCUAGUAUGUCCUUUCAUUUACUAAGAGAAUACAUACUCCAUAGACGUGCUCUUCAUAGGUAUGCACAUCCAUAUUAGCAAGAUGCUUUAAUUUUUCAGCUUUCAGUAAGCCACUAAAAGUGUUUGUCUAUCAUGUGAGUUGAAUUG